UACGUAGGGUGCAAGCGUUGUCCGGAAUUAUUGGGCGUAAAGAGCUCGUAGGCGGUCUGUCGCGUCGAAUGUGAAAACCCGGGGCUCAACCCCGGGCCUGCAUUCGAUACGGGCAGACUAGAGUUCGGUAGGGGAGUCUGGAAUUCCUGGUGUAGCGGUGAAAUGCGCAGAUAUCAGGAGGAACACCGGUGGCGAAGGCGGAUCUCUGGGCCAUUACUGACGCUGAGGAGCGAAAGCGUGGGGAGCGAACAGG
rnacentral:rRNA from 1 species